rnacentral:lncRNA from 1 species
CUCACACAUACUUUUAGAGUUUCUGUGCAGCAUUAAUGCUGAAACGCUUUAUAUUGAGGGAUAUACUCCACGGUACCAUCUAUACUGCUCCAACAAUCUCAUUAUUCCUGUUGUGACAAUGCUGUCUUGUUCCAGACAAGAUAACGAACGCUGGGAAUUCUAAGAACAGGCGUUUAAAUCAGGUAAAUUCCGUUGUCAUUUUGUAAAAAUACACGUAUCGUGUUCAGGCUGCAAUAUGUACUGCUCAAUCUACAUAUGUAACUUUAUUAGUCAAUGCAAAAUACUGUUUAUCGUUUAAAUAUCAUGAACUGGCAAAGAAUAACAGCUAUUAAUGGGAUUUAGUGAUGCUUUUUUUUAUACUUGUCAAUUCAUUGAUACAUUUAAAUAUAAUGUAAGUUAGAUGGUUUUUAAGUUUUAAGAGUAUAUUUUAACCCUUUAAGGACCAACAACUCUCCGCAAUCAUAACAAUCUGUUCUUUAAGGAUCUUAUUCUAAAAGUAAAUGACAAACUCACUCGGUUAAUGACAGCUGUGAACGGACAGAGCUACCAAAACUUACACGGCUUUAAAAUUAAGGUAGUGUUAAUGCAAAAUGUGUGUUUAUGUAUGUUAUGUUUAUAUAUAUAUAUAUAUAAUUAUAAUUUAUAUAAGCUAGCAUGUUCUACAGUGCUUUACAAUUAUAGAAUGGGGAUAUUUAAGAAAAAGUAUAUGUGAUUUACUGAAUCUAACAGAUAUCUUUAUAGAUAUGCACAUAUUUCUGUAUAAGUCUAUUGGUUAUCAAACGAAUUCAAAGUAAAAUCUUCAGUCGCUAAACUGUGAAUAGUUACCCUAGAGAGGAGUUUGCAAGUCAUGACAAAAGUAAUCGAGUUUGCAGUAUAGUUCAGUUUGUGGAUGUUUCUCGUUCUGCUACUUUGGUCUAAAUAUUGUAGUUUACCAACCAAUACGAUUAACAGAAUGGUGAAUAAACGUCAAAAUAAUUUAUUCUACAUAAGCACUAUUUACCAUUGCCCACUUGGAGGUUUUUUGAGGCUUUGAAUUGUUGAUUUGUGGUAUUAAUUUACAAUUUCAGCAGGCAUAAUCCUUCCUUUCUCUCACUUUUCCUUUCUGAACUCUCUCCCUCGUUCUCUCUCUCUCUCUUUCUCUAGCUCUCUUUCAUUGAAAAAAUAUUACCAAGCCAGACAAGAUUCAAUGAUGCCAGAAAUAUAUUAAUUAAAAUAAAUCACUCUGUUUACGUUGAUAUUGUAUUGCUUAUUUUGUAUUCUUUCUGUGUAAAUUACCUAUCUACCUUGUCUAAUCAAUUACAGAAUUCCUUUAUCAAUUAAAUAAAUUAUACUGAUAUUAAAUAGAAUGUGUUAUUUCUUUACAACCAUAUUGUGUUUUAUUAAAUAAACUAGUCUUUAUUAAGGUUGGCAAGACUAGUUAUAUCAUUCUGGUAACAGAUUAUCAUAUGAUCAUAUAUAUAUUAUUCAUGUGUAAAUAUUUAUAUUGUUAAACACACAAAGCAGAGGAUGUACAAUCAAAAGUGAAAGUGUAAAUAAAGAAUUAGGACCAGAUGUACAAAUCAUUCAACACCGGAAAUUGUAAAUUGCUAUUGAAGAUAAUUAAAACUAACGAUGUACUUCAUCGGUUCAUCAGAAGAAUCAAAAUACAAGACUGCUGACCCAUCACACGUAUAACCACCUUGGCCCCCCCAAUAAUACACCGGACACCUUCUUAGUGGAUAAGGGCAAUGACCACAGCUUUAAUAAAUAAUAAUCUUUAACAUUAUCCAAAAACCAUGUCAGCUGUUGAGCAACAGACAGUUCUCCAACCUUUUUCCCAAGAGCCUAAACAGCCAGCACUUGUCAUCAACUCCCGUGCAGGCUGUCACCUUCCCAAAGCGACUCUUCGUAUUAUCAGUCUGCUCCUGUUCCCUGCCUCUGCUGACUCCUCCCCUAAUAUCUUUAAAAAAACAAAAAACAUCCAUGUUGCAACAUUAGUAUCCAUUUUAUUCCAGCCCACUAGGCAUGGACAGAAGUCAUGCUCCCCCCUCUCAAGUUGUCCAGUGGGAAACUUUUCUUAUUUUGUGACUUGGGUACGCAGAGCAAAACUGUAUGUUUCAGAUUUCUAUAAAACAGAGUAGAACAUUCUAAUGUAACGUUUGAGUAUGGUCUGGGCUGUGUUCUCCGGACAUUUGUUACUGCCCUCUCCAUUCUCAUGCCUAUAGCUAACUUAAUACAGCUGAAUUAAGUUGGAGAUCAUUAACGAGGUAUCGUCACUCAGCCACUCCACCAUUCUUAAAUACCAUUUCUUUCUUCUUCAUGAUCAUUGUCUCUGUUAAUAGUUUGUAUGUCAGCUACUUGCUACUUGUUGUUAAUUAUCCUUAGUCUAAGAUUCUAAAUCGCUGUGGAAUAUGUUGGCGCUACAUAAAAAUGAUAAAUAAUAGUAAGCGGUGGUAAUGUCUUCAGCUUGCUGUCGAGUAGCGAACCUUGUCUUGUCAUUACUAAAACGCCAGCACACUGCACUAACUUCUUCGCUGAUAAUGAGGAACUUCGCUGAUAAUGAGACCAAGUCCCUGAUAUAUACUGUAGCAACUUUUAAGGUCCUCCUAAUAGCAAAGCGCGUGUCAUCUUAAACCUUUCAUAUAAAGGGUUGGGGUGUUUAAAAGGAAAGAUGGGAGAAAUUAUAAUGGUAUGUUGAAGAGACAGAUGAUGAUAUGGGCGGUUAGGCAAGUGAGUGGCUAAAAUUGGAGUGAUACUGCAAAAUCCAGUGGUCACUACUCCAUCCUAAUUCUCCUUGACCUUUCUGCUACUUUCUGAUACUGACUGUUGAUCAUCAACAACUUCUCUCAUCCUCCGUAAUUUCGAUCUGCGAGCAGGGCCGCCACACAGGGUCUGGGCCCCCUGGGGCUCACCUCCAACUACCGCCCACAGGGUCCGCCUCCAAAUACAGCCCACAGGAAUACACACACAGACACAAACACACACACUGAUACAAAAGGACACAGAUACAUACUAACAGACACACAUACUGAAACAGACAUACAUGCAUACAGGCAUACAUACUGACACACACAUACUGAGACAUACACACAUAUACAGACACCCAGGCAUACAUAGUGACAGACAGACACAUACUAACAUACAUACAGACACAUAUGCAUGAGGACAUAAAGACACAUACAUACAUACACACUGACAUACAUACACACACACAUACAUACAUACACAUACAUUCAUACACACAUACAUUUAUACAUACAGACAUACUGACAGACAUACAGACCCUGACAUCCAUACACACAUACGUUCAGACUGACAUACAUGCAUAUAUACAGACAUACAUGCAUACAGGCAUCCAUACACAAAUACACACAUACGUUCAUAAUGAUAUGCAGACAUACAUUCAUACUGACAUACAGACAUACAUACAUAUAUACAUAUAUAAUGACAUACAGACAUACAUAUAUACAUACAUACAGACAGACAUACAUGCAUACAUACAGACAUACAUACAGACAUACAUAGACAUACAUACAUAGACAUACAUGCAUGCAUACAUACAGACAUACAUACAUACAGACAUACAGACAGACAUACAUACAGACAGACAUACAUGCAUGCAUACAGACAUACAUAGACAGACAUACAUACAUAGACAUACAUACAGACAUACAGACAGACAUACAUACAGACAGACAUACAUACAUACAUGCAUGCAUACAGUCAGACAGACAUACAUGCAUACAGACAGACAGACAUACAUACAGGCAGACAUACAUACAUAGACAUACAUACAUACAGACAGAUAUACAUGCAGACAGACAGACAGACAUACAGACAUACAUAGAAAUACACACACACACACACACACACACACAAACAAAGCUCAUUUUCCAGCCACCCUCCUGUCUCUUACCUUUUCUUUGCAGGAGGGUAGCUGGGGCUGAUGGGAGUAGUCAGCAUGGCUCUCCCUCACUGCGGCGUACGCGCUCCUCCCGCGUGGAGUGAGCUGGGAGGAAGUGACCACUUCCUCCCAGCAGCACUUGCUGCGGCUGCUUUUUUUUUUUUUUUUUUAAAGGGCCCGGUCGCACUAUUACACGGCCACAGUGCUGACCGGGCCCCUGAAGAUAUAGGGCCCAUCGGGUGGCCCUAAGUGCAUGGGCCACCCGAUAGGCCCCAUCAGCGNNNNNNNNNNNNNNNNNNNNNNNNNNNNNNNNNNNNNNNNNNNNNNNNNNNNNNNNNNNNNNNNNNNNNNNNNNNNNNNNNNNNNNNNNNNNNNNNNNNNUGCGGGCCCAGGUGCAAGUGCACCGGCGGCAGUUCCGCCACUACACGUUAUGGAUGUCAACCCCUGAUGGCGGCCCUGUCUGCGAGACUCUAAUCUCUCCUGGUUCUCCUCUUACCUAUCCCCGUGCUUUUUAAGUGUUUCUUUUUCUGUCUCUUUCUCUUCUCCCCAACCCCUCUCUGUUGGUGUUCCCCAAGGUUCUGUCNNNNNNNNNNNNNNNNNNNNNNNNNNNNNNNNNNNNNNNNNNNNNNNNNNNNNNNNNNNNNNNNNNNNNNNNNNNNNNNNNNNNNNNNNNNNNNNNNNNNCUUGGUCCUUUACUGUUCUCAAUCUUUACUGCCUGCCUUGGUAAAAUCUAUUAGUCAUCUCCUGAUCUCUUACAAUCCCUCCUGACGUGUCUCUGACUGCCUCUCUUCUAUUUCUAACUGGAUGGCUACUCACUUCCUAAGCCUUAACCUGUUUAAAACAGAAUCUUUCCUCCCUUAAGUGUUGCUACUCCUAUGUUUGUUUCCCUCCAGUCAAUGUCAAUGGCACUACCACCAGGUCUUCCUCAUAGGCUCGCUGCCUAGUUGUUGUCUUUGACUCAGACCUCUCCCUCAUCCCUCAUGUCCAGUCAAUCACCAAAUCUUGCUGCUUUAAUCUCAAAACAUAGCACGUAUCCACCCCUAUUUAACACUGGAUGCAGCUAAGGUGCUGGUCCAUGUUGCUAUGCUCUCUCGCCUUGACUACUGCAAUCCCCUUCUCAGCGGUCUUACGUUUCCCCUAUUACAGUCUAUAAUACUUGCAGUAGUGAGGCUCAUCUUCCUGUCCACCUGAACCUUCCACACUUCCCCAUUCUGUCAGUCCCUACUCUAGCUUCCCAUAAGAAAUAAGGCUCAAAAUAAAAUUCUGGUACUUAUUUACAAAUCUCUACAUAACACUGCUCCUAUUUACCGAUCCUCUGUAAUACACAAGUAUGUCCUGUCCGGAACCCUAUGCUCUGCUGAAGACCUGCAUCUACCCUUUGUUCGUACUCACACCUCUGAGUCUUCUUCAAGACUUCUCUAGUACUGUGCAGUUCCUAUGGAACAUGCUUCCUUGCCCUGUUAAACUCUCACCCAGUCUCCGUUCCUCCAAAAAUCAUUGAGAACUCACUUCUUCAGGAAAGCAUAUCAAUUAAGCUGUUAAUAGCUUUCCCUCCUCGCACCUCGGUAUCCCACUUUGUGUCCUCUCCUGCAAAAAGUAUGUAUCCAAGAGUAUGUGUUAAGGAAGGACAAGACAUUUCAAGCCCAGGUAGGGCAAACUGGGGUGUAGUCUAAGGGAUCAUUGUCAAGUGGUGGCAUCUUGAUGCUCAAGCCACAACAACAUACUUAUUCAGGAAGUGACAUUGCAUUACUUUCAGAACAGGAAACAAACCACGUUCAGAACAAGCAAAAGACAAGAUAGAAAACAUGGCUACUGAGAAACUGCACAAUAACCUUCCCAAUGAGUGUAACAUAACUAGUAUAAAACAGCUAAUCAUAGUAAUAUAAAAAGGUGUAACUAUUAUACCUACUGUUACAAGAUAACUAGAGAAUUACUUUAGUUUUGUACAAUUUGGAGUUUAGAAAAUAAACCUGUUUUGUGUACAUGUAGAAAAAUAAUAAAAAGUCAUCAAUAAUUAAAAGGGGACUCUUACCACCCAAACCAUUAUAUCUUAAUGCAGUGGUUUUGGUGCAUAGAUGCUGAACCUUUGUCUGACUUUGUAAAACAUUACUGAUUCUAAUAAAUGUCAAUGUUUAACAAAAAGGUCGCAGGCAAAUGCCUACAAUACAUUGUUUACAAUAGCACUUUCCCCAAUGUGAUUGAUACUUUUUGGGUGCUGGUAAGACUCUAAUGAAGGUGUUUUGUGAAAUGUAUUUUUUUGGACAUCUUAUAUUAUAAUUAAAGAAUGGGCUUCUCAUCUAACUCUACAAUAGACAAUUGGCUUACCAUUCUAAUGCCAUGUGCAUAUUUUAAUACCCUGAUCAAUGAAGGUUAUAACCACUGCUCAACGGUGUAAAAUAAAAAUAGCUCAUGUACAGGUGAAAUAUCUGGAAUUGAUUGGUUCUAUAUCCAAUAUAUCACAGAAUGCUAUUUCAAAAUACUCACUGACAAAUCUUCUUGUGGUACUGUAUACAGAGAUAUAUAUACAAAAACUAAUAUGAAAUAAUAUAUUAAGAUUCAGAGAUGCUACAGGGUGGGCCAAAAUUCAAAGUGAGAUGUGACGGGUAAAUAAUUUGUUAGUAGUUCAAUGUUUUUGUUGCAGGUACAUAUUAUAACUGACUUGUGGGAGAUUCAUUAUGGGUAAUUUCACAAAGGAACAACGAAUUAGCCAGAGAAAACAUGAAUUUAUGUUCAUCAACUCAUAAUGUUUGAAGAUCAUUUUCAUCUAAAUGGCUUUGUUAAUAAGCAAAACUGUAGUUUCUAGGGAACAGAAAAUUAACAGCUAAUUCAUUAGUGCCUGCCAAAUGCACCAACUGGUGCGGGGUGACGUUGCAGCAAGUUAUCAGGCAGAAAUUUGAGUGCUAAAGCCAACUAAUGUCAUGAACAAUGCAAUUGAAAGAGUAAGACCUUGCGAGUCUGCAAAUGGAGCUCAUUUAAAAGAUGUCAUCUUCCGUACUUUGUAAAACAAAUCUCUAUAUGUUAAGCAAUCAUUGUAUGUAAUAUCAUUAAAAUUGGUUCAUUAAAGGACCACUAUAGGCACCCAGACCACUUCAGCUUAAUGAAGUGGUCUGGGUGCCAGGCCCAGCUAGGAUUAACCCUUUCUUCUAUAAACAUAGCAGUUUCAGAGAAACUGCUAUGUUUAUAAUAGGGUUAAUCCAGCCUCUAGUGGCUGUCUCAUUGACAGCCGCUGGAGGCGCUUCCGCGCUUCUCACUGUGAUUUUCACAGUGAGAAGACGCCAGCGUCCAUAGGAAAGCAUUGAGAAUGCAUUCCUAUGGACUGGCUGAAUGUGCGCGCGGCUCCUGCCACGCAUGCGCAUUCAGACGAUGACGGCGAUAUGGAGGAGGAGAGAAGGAGGAGAAAAGGAGGAGAGUUCCCCGUCCGGCGCUGGGGAAAGAGGCAAAUUUAACCCCUUCCACCCCCUAGAGCCCGGCGGGAGGAAAAACAGGAAAACGAGUAUGUUUGGCACUAUAGUGGUCCUUUAAUAAAACAAAAGUGACACCUCAAACACCUUUCUAAUUUUUGGCACAUCCUGUAUAAAUUGGCCUAGAACGUAUCAGAUUCAAAUUAACACCGUAUCCUAUAUUUUUUUCCAUGUCAGAAGAGAACAUUUUCUAAAAAAUAACAUGACAGACACAUAUUUCUAAUGCAUUGUAAAGGUAAACAAUUAAAAUGCAUGCACGGAAACAAUUAAUUUAAAAAAUAAAAUUGUAUUUGUGAUUUUAUGCUUAUUAAAUAUAUAAGGAUAAAAAAUAAAUUAAGAAGAGUAACAAAUUGAUUUUUCUUUUACAUUUUAGCUGAUAUCUCCAUAGUCAAAUUUUACUAAAUGCCAUCCACAGUAUACUUUAAAGGGACAAUAUAGUCACCUAAACAACUUUAGCUCAAUGAAGUAGUUUUGGUUUAUAGAACAUGCCCCUGUAGCCUCACUGCUCAAUUCUCUGCCAUUUAGGAGUUAAAUCCCUUUGUUUAUGAACCCUAGUCACACCUCCCUGCAUGUGACUUGCACAGCCUUCCAUAAACACUUCCUGUAAAGAGAGCCCUAUUUAGACUUUCUUUAUUGCAGGUUCUGUUUAAUUAAGAUUUUCUUAUCCCCUGCUAUGUUAAUAGCUUGCUAGACCCUGCAAGAGCCUUCUGUAUGUGAUUAAAGUUCAAUUUAGAGAUUGAGAUACAAUUAUUUAACUCCUAAAUGACAGUGAAUUGAGCAGUGAAAUUGCAGGGGGAAUGAUCUAUACACUAAAACUGCUUUAUUUAGCUAAAGUAAUUUAGGUGACUAUAGUGUUCCUUUAAUUUAGUCAAUGAUUAUUGCUGUUUUUUUAUACAGAUUGAUUGCCUGUCUCCUUCUUCACCUGGUUUCAAAUAUCGCAAUCUUGUCUUUCUUUAUUACAGGAGAAGAUCAUCAAAGGAUGUGAAGACACUAUUUAUGUCAUGGAUGUGUUACAGAACCCAAUUUAUGUCUAAUUUUUCCAUUAACAUAAUAUACUGCAAAAUAAUAAUAUGGGAAAUGAUUAUGAGUAAUCCAUUUAAAGUAUGGAAACUUUCGCAGAGGUUGAAGGUUCCUCUAGUCAUUCCACACUGUUCAAGUGUUCUUUAACAUCUAAG